CUCCCUCAACCUUACUCCAGGGGUUUUUGCCUGUAGAGCGCCCUGGCAUUACCUGAGGGUACAGGAAAAGCAUAUUUAUCUCCCCAGGAAGAUUGCAUUCGUUGGGGCAUACAAGGUGAGCUGACAGU